rnacentral:rRNA from 1 species
UACGAACGCUGGCGGCGUGCUUAACACAUGCAAGUCGAACGAAGUGGCGAACGGGUGAGUAACGCGUAAUCAACCUGCCCUUCAGCGGGGGACACCAGUUGGACACGACUGCUAAUCCCGCAUACUGAAGGAGGGGAUUGCGUCUGAUUAGCUAGUUGGAGGGGUAACGGCCCACCAAGGCGAUGCUCAGUAGCCGGUCGGAGGGGAUGAACGGCCACAUUGGGACAGAGACACGGCCCAGACUACUACGGGAGGCAGCAGUAGGGAAUGUGCCGCAAUGGACGAGAGUCUGACGGAGCAACGCGGAGUGAGGGAUGACGGCCUUCGGGUUGGAAAGCUCUGUUAAUCGGGACGCGGUACCGGAAUAGAAAGCCACGGCUAACUACGUGCCAGCAGCCGCGGUAAUAC